UACAGAGGGGGCAAGCGUUGUUCGGAAUUACUGGGCUUAAAGGGUUUGUAGGCGGCGCUGUUAGUCAGGCGUGAAAAUUCCUGGGCUCAACCUGGGGACUGCGCUUGAUACGGCAGAGCUUGAGGAUGGAAGAGGGUCGCGGAAUUCCCAGUGUAGAGGUGAAAUUCGUAGAUAUUGGGAAGAACACCGGUGGCGAAGGCGGCGACCUGGUCCAUUACUGACGCUGAGGCGCGACAGCGUGGGGAGCAAACAGG
rnacentral:rRNA from 1 species